UAACGCGUGGGUAACCUGCCUCAUACAGGGGGGUAACAGUUAGAAAUGACUGCUAAUACCGCAUAAGCGCACAGUGCUGCAUGGCACAGUGUGAAAAACUCCGGUGGUAUGAGAUGGACCCGCGUCUGAUUAGCUAGUUGGUGGGGUAACGGCCUACCAUGGCGACGAUCAGUAGCCGGCCUGAGAGGGUGAACGGCCACAUUGGGACUGAGACACGGCCCAA
rnacentral:rRNA from 1 species